GAAUUAUCAAGCCCCCGUCUAAGCUGCUAACUUAGAUUAAAAUGGUUAAACUCCAUUUGUAAUUCU
rnacentral:tRNA from 1 species